CCUACGGGAGGCAGCAGUAGGGAAUAUUGCACAAUGGGGGAAACCCUGAUGCAGCAACGCCGCGUGGGCGAUGAAGGAUUUCGGAAUGUAAAGCUCUAUCGUCAGAGAAGAAAAUGACGGUACCUAACUAAGAAGCACCGGCUAACUACGUGCCAGCAGCCGCGGUAAUACGGAGGGGGCAAGCGUUAUCCGGAUUUACUGGGUGUAAAGGGCGCGUAGACGGGCCAGCAAGCCAGAUGUGAAAGCCCAGGGCUCAACCCUGGGACUGCAUUUGAAACUGUAAGGCUAGAGUGUCGGAGAGGCAGGCGGAAUUCUUAGUGUAGCGGUGAAAUGCGUAGAGAUUAGGAGGAACACUAGUGGCGAAGGCGGCCUGCUGGACGAUGACUGACGUUGAGGCGCGAAAGCGUGGGGAGCAAACAGGAUUAGAUACCCCGGUAGUC
rnacentral:rRNA from 1 species